GACGAACGCUGGCGGCGUGCCUAAUACAUGCAAGUCGAACGCAGUGGGGACGGGUGAGUAACACGUGGGUAACCUCCCAUCAGAGGGGAUAACACUUGGAAACAGGUGCUAAACCGAUACUGAUGGAUGGACCCGCGGUGCAUUAGCUAGUUGGUGAGGUAACGGCUCACCAAGGCCACGAUGCAUAGCCGGCCUGAGAGAGGGAUGGUCCACACUGGGACUGAGAAACGGCCAGAACUCUUACGGGAGGAAGCAGUAGGGAAUCUUCGGCAAUGGAGGAAAGUCGGACCGAGAAACGCCGCGUGGGUGAAGAAGGUUUUCGGAUCGUAAAGCACUGGUGUUAGGGAAGCGGUAUCUAACCAGAAAGCCACGGCUAACUACGUGCCAGCAGCCGCGGUAAUUC
rnacentral:rRNA from 1 species